rnacentral:tRNA from 1 species
AGGAGUGUAGUGGAAAGGUAAACACAUCUGAUUUAGGGUCAGGUAUUUGCAGGUUCGAGCCCUGUCACUCCUA